GCUCCUGUGGUCUAGUGGUUAUGACACUUCGUUGUGGUCAUGCUUACGUAACUAUUACGUAAGAAACACGCCGAAGCGGCCUGUGUUCGAUUCACGGCAGGGGCA